CGCUGGCGGCGUGCUUAACACAUGCAAGUCGAACGGGAUCCAUCAAGCUUGCUUGGUGGUGAGAGUGGCGAACGGGUGAGUAAUGCGUGACCAACCUGCCCCAUACACCGGAAUAGCUCCUGGAAACGGGUGGUAAUGCCGGAUGUUCCGCACCGUCGCAUGGUGGUGUGGGAAAGGGUUUACCGGUAUGGGAUGGGGUCGCGUCCUAUCAGCUUGUUGGUGGGGUGAUGGCCUACCAAGGCGUCGACGGGUAGCCGGCCUGAGAGGGCGACCGGCCACAUUGGGACUGAGAUACGGCCCAGACUCCUACGGGAGGCAGCAGUGGGGAAUAUUGCACAAUGGGCGAAAGCCUGAUGCAGCGACGCCGCGUGCGGGAUGACGGCCUUCGGGUUGUAAACCGCUUUGAUUGGGAGCAAGCGAGAGUGAGUGUACCUUUCGAAUAAGCACCGGCUAACUACGUGCCCANCAGCCGCGG
rnacentral:rRNA from 1 species